rnacentral:rRNA from 1 species
GAUGAACGCUGGCGGCGUGCUUAACACAUGCAAGUCGAACGAGAAGUGAAGACGGAAACCUUCGGGCGGAAGGCUUUAUUUCGAGUGGCGGACGGGGGAGUAACGCGUGGGUAACCUGCCUCAUACAGGGGGAUAACAGUUGGAAACGACUGUUAAUACCGCAUAAGACCACAGCACCGCAUGGUGCGGGGGUAAAAACUCCGGUGGUAUGAGAUGGACCCGCGUUCGAUUAGCCAGUUGGCGGGGUAACGGCCCACCAAAGCGACGAUCGAUAGCCGAUCUGAGAGGAUGACCGGCCACAUUGGGACUGAGACACGGCCCAAACUCCUACGGGAGGCAGCAGUGGGGAAUAUUGCACAAUGGGGGAAACCCUGAUGCAGCGACGCCGCGUGAGUGAAGAAGUCUUUCGGUAUGUAAAGCUCUAUCAGCAGGGAAGAAAAUGACGGUACCUGAGUAAGAAGCCCCGGCUAACUACGUG